UUAAAACUCAAAUGAAUUGACGGGGGCCCGCACAAGCGGUGGAGCAUGUGGUUUAAUUCGAUGCAACGCGAAGAACCUUACCUGGUCUUGACAUCCACGGAAGUUUUCAGAGAUGAGAAUGUGCCUUCGGGAACCGUGAGACAGGUGCUGCAUGGCUGUCGUCAGCUCGUGUUGUGAAAUGUUGGGUUAAGUCCCGCAACGAGCGCAACCCUUAUCCUUUGUUGCCAGCGGUCCGGCCGGGAACUCAAAGGAGACUGCCAGUGAUAAACUGGAGGAAGGUGGGGAUGACGUCAAGUCAUCAUGGCCCUUACGACCAGGGCUACACACGUGCUACAAUGGCGCAUACAAAGAGAAGCGACCUCGCGAGAGCAAGCGGACCUCAUAAAGUGCGUCGUAGUCCGGAUUGGAGUCUUCAACUCGACUCCAUGAAGUCGGAAUCGCUAGUAAUCGUGGAUCAGAAUGCCACGGUGAAUACGUUCCCGGGCCUUGUACACACCGCCCGUCACACCAUGGGAGUGGGUUGCAAAAGAAGUAGGUAGCUUAACCUUCGGGAGGGCGCUUACCACUUUGUGAUUCAUGACUGGGGUGAAGUCGUAACAAGGUAAAUCUCUGGAAGAUGCCGCCGGCGUA
rnacentral:rRNA from 1 species